rnacentral:misc_RNA from 1 species
AAGUCGUAACAAGGUUUCCGUAGGUGAACCUGCGGAAGGAUCAUUAAUGAUUUUUAAAGCGAGUCGAGCGUUUAAGCGAGGCUUGCGAAAAAUAUUUAAAACCCCACUCUUUUUAACUUUAAAAUAUAAAUCAUGAUAAAAAAAAAGAUCACUUUCAACAACGGAUCUCUUGGCUCUC